CUGCAACAGAGCUCAGUCGGCAAAGCAUGAGACUCUUAAUCUCAGGGUCGUGGGUUGGAGCCCCACGUUGCACA